rnacentral:tRNA from 1 species
GAGGGGUGGCCGAGUGGUUGAAGGCGGCGGUCUUGAAAACCGCUGUGGGGGCAACUCCACCGUGGGUUCGAAUCCCACCCCCUCC